CGGGGCGUGGCGCAGCUUGGCAGCGCGCUUGACUGGGGGUCAAGAGGUCGCAGGUUCAAAUCCUGUCGCCCCGACCA
rnacentral:tRNA from 1 species